rnacentral:rRNA from 1 species
GAUGAACGCUGGCGGCGUGCCUAAUACAUGCAAGUCGAGCGAACGGACGAGAAGCUUGCUUCUCUGAUGUUAGCGGCGGACGGGUGAGUAACACGUGGAUAACCUACCUAUAAGACUGGGAUAACUUCGGGAAACCGGAGCUAAUACCGGAUAAUAUUUUGAACCGCAUGGUUCAAAAGUGAAAGACGGUCUUGCUGUCACUUAUAGAUGGAUCCGCGCUGCAUUAGCUAGUUGGUAAGGUAACGGCUUACCAAGGCAACGAUGCAUAGCCGACCUGGGAGGGUGAUAGGCCACACUGGAACUGAGACACGGUCCAGACUCCUACGGGAGGCAGCAGUAGGGAAUCUUCCGCAAUGGGCGAAAGCAUGACGGAGCAACGCCGCGUGAGUGAUGAAGGUCUUCGGAUCGUAAAACUCUGUUAUUAGGGAAGAACAUAUGUGUAAGUAACUGUGCACAUCUUGACGGUACCUAAUCAGAAAGCCACGGCUAACUACGUG